rnacentral:rRNA from 1 species
GAUGAACGCUGGCGGCGUGCCUAAUACAUGCAAGUCGAGCGAACAGACGAGGAGCUUGCUCCUCUGACGUUAGCGGCGGACGGGUGAGUAACACGUGGAUAACCUACCUAUAAGACUGGGAUAACUUCGGGAAACCGGAGCUAAUACCGGAUAAUAUAUUGAACCGCAUGGUUCAAUAGUGAAAGACGGUUUUGCUGUCACUUAUAGAUGGAUCCGCGCCGCAUUAGCUCGUUGGUAAGGUAACGGCUUACCAAGGCGACGAUGCGUAGCCGACCUGGGAGGGUGAUCGCCCACACUAAAACUAAGACACCGUGCAGACUCCUACGGGAGGCAGCAGUAGGGAAUCUUCCGCAAUGGGCGAAAGCCUGACGGAGCAACGCCGCGUGAGUGAUGAAGGUCUUCGGAUCGGAAAACUCUGUUAUUAGGUAAGAACAAAUGUGUAAGUAACUAUGCACGUCUUGACGGUACCUAAUCAGAAAGCCACGGCUAACUCCGUG